rnacentral:rRNA from 1 species
GACGAACGCUGGCGGCGUGCCUAAUACAUGCAAGUCGAACGCUGAAGGAGGAGCUUUCUUCUCUGGAUGAGUGGCGAACGGGUGAGUAACGCGUAUGUAACCUGCCUGUUAGCGGGGGGUAACUAUUGGAAACGAUAGCUAAUACCGCAUAAGAGUAGAUGUUGCAUGACAUUUGCUUGAAAGGUGCAGUUGCAUCACUACCAGAUGGACCUGCGGUGUAUUAGCUAGUUGGUGGGGUAACGGCUCACCAAGGCGACGAUACAUAGCCGACCUGAGAGGGUGAUCGGCCACACUGGGACUGAGACACGGCCCAGACUCCUACGGGAGGCAGCAGUAGGGAAUCUUCGGCAAUGGACGGAAGUCUGACCGAGCAACGCAGCGUGAGUGAAGAAGGUUUUCGGAUCGUAAAGCGCUGUUGUAAGAGAAGAACGAGUGUGAGAGUGGAAAGUUCCGACUGUGCCGGUAUUUUACAAGAAAGGGCCGGCUACUGCCG